GGUUAAAAAGCUCGUAGUUGGUUCUGUGUGCCAUGCUGUUGGUUCACCGCCUGCCGGUGUAACUGACAUGUCAUGGGACGUACUGUCGGUGGUGAUUUAAAGAACCGAUUUUUGGUUUUAAGGUAAAACUUAAACCAGAAAGAGGAAAUCUUUAGUUGCCGAUUAACUCCUACCGCGGUGCUCUUUACUGAGUGUCGAGGUGGGCCGACAUUUUUACUUUGAACAAAUUAGAGUGCUUAAAGCAGGCAAAAAUCUGCCUGAAUAGUGGUGCAUGGAAUAAUAGAAUAGGAUCUUGGUUCUAUUUUGUUGGUUUUUAAGAAUCCAAGGUAAUGAUCAAUAUGGACAGGCGGGGGCAUUCGUAUUGCGACGUUAGAGGUGAAAUUCUUGGAUCGUCGCAAGACGAACUAGAGCGAAAGCAUUUGCCAAGUAUGUCUUAAUUGAUCAAGAACGAAAGUUAGAUGCGCGAAGGCGAUCAGAUACCGCCCUAGUUCUAACCAUAAACGAUGUCAGCCAGCGAUCCGUCGAUGUUUUUUUCAUGACUCGACGGGCAGCUUCCGGGAAACCAAAGCUUUUGGGUUCCGGGGGAAGUAUGGUUGCAAAGCUGAAA
rnacentral:rRNA from 1 species